AGCGAACGCUGGCGGCAGGCUUAACACAUGCAAGUCGAGCGGGCAUCCUUGUGGUGUCAGCGGCAGACGGGUGAGUAACGCGUGGGAACGUGCCCUUCGGUUCGGAAUAACUCAGGGAAACUUGAGCUAAUACCGGAUACGUGCGAGAGCAGAAAGGUUUAUCUGCCGAAGGAUCGGCCCGCGUCUGAUUAGCUAGUUGGUGAGGUUAUGGCUCACCAAGGCGACGAUCAGUAGCUGGUCUGAGAGGAUGAUCAGCCACACUGGGACUGAGACACGGCCCAGACUCCUACGGGAGGCAGCAGUGGGGAAUAUUGGACAAUGGGGGCAACCCUGAUCCACCCAUGCCGCGUGAGUGAUGACGGCCUUAGGGUUGUAAAGCUCUUUUCUCCGGGACGAUAAUGACGGUACCGGAGGAAUAAGCCCCGGCUAACUUCGUG
rnacentral:rRNA from 1 species